rnacentral:rRNA from 1 species
GACGAACGCUGGUGGCGUGCUUAACACAUGCAAGUCGAACGGGAUUUAGUAAACAGAAGCCUCGGUGGAAGAUUACUAAUGAGAGUGGCGAACGGGUGAGUAACGCGUGAGCAACCUGCCUAUGACAGUGGGAUAGCCUCGGGAAACCGGGAUUAAUACCGCAUCAAAUCGUAGAAACACAUGUUUUAACGGUCAAAGAUUUAUCGGUCAUAGAUGGGCUCGCGUCUGAUUAGCUAGUUGGUGAGAUAACAGCCCACCAAGGCGACGAUCAGUAGCCGGUCUGAGAGGAUGAACGGCCACAUUGGAACUGAGACACGGUCCAAACUCGUACGGGAGGCAGCGGAGGAGAAUAUUGCACAAUGGGGGAAACCCUGAUGCAGCGACGCCGCGUGAACGAAGAAGGUAUUCGUAUCGUAAAGUUCUGUCCUAUGGGAAGAUAAUGACAGUACCAUAGAAGAAAGCUCCGGCUAAAUACGUG